GCAACGUGCCAAGGCUACAUCUAUCCGCCCAUGCCGACCGAUUUGCCAGAGCCUGACUUGGAGGAACACGUACAGUGAACUUCUGUCUCACAUGGAGCCCUGGAAUGGUCCCAGUGAUUACGACGUAGGAACUAUAGAUGUAUACCCACGCUGCCUCUUCAAAGCGUAGGCACUCCAUUGCAAUCCAAUUUUCG